GCAAGUCGAGGGGUAACGAUGGCUUCGGCCAGGCGACGACCGGCGCACGGGUGAGUAUCGCGUUUGUAACCUACCUUUAACUGGAAGAUAGCCCGAAGAAAUUCGGAUUAAUAUUCCAUAACACUAUAGUUUGGCAUCACUUUAUAGUUAAAGCUCCGGCGGUUAAAGAUGGGCAUGCGUAACAUUAGCUAGUUGGUGAGGUAACUGCUCACCAAGGCUACGAUGUUUAGGGGGUCUGAGAGGAUGGUC
rnacentral:rRNA from 1 species